rnacentral:lncRNA from 1 species
CGCAACGCCGCGCAGCCGGAAGCGCAACGCCGGCCCCGCUCACCUCUGUGUCGUGGGCGGGGCGUUUCCGGCCGCUGACGCGUGCGCGCGCCGACGUCCCAGCCGACCCCACUCUGCGCAGAACGGCGCGGCCGGGCGCCAGGCUUCGCGGCGUCAGCCGCACUGGUUCCUCAGCACCUUCGGGCUGGGGCUGCCGAGCCCGCCCCAAAAGGUCGUUUCCCCUGCAGUUUCCAACAUGGCAAGCAGGUUUCAUAAACAUGGAUAAGAAGUCCACACACAGAAGUUCUGGAGAUGCCAGGACUGGCAGAAGUGGAGGUAAACACAAACAGAAUAAAAAAGGAAAGCAAAACCCCAAUCACCGCCAAUCCCGACACAGAUCAUCAACGUCUCAUUCUUCAGAUGACCGUGUGUUUCCUUUUUCUCUAUCAUCUUCAGGAAGCCAGACGGAUUCAAGUCUCGAAGGUGCUACCAAGGGAAAAAUUAAGAGAAAGAGAAGGGAGAAGAGGAGUAGAUGGAGGAAAGAAAGAAAGGUAGGUAAUUGUGAAUAAUUUAAUGUAAGUAUAAAAAUUGGCUCUUAGAGGAUUCUUCA